UACGAAGGGGGCGAGCGUUAUUCGGAAUCACUGGGCGUAAAGCGUGCGUAGGCUGUCUAGCAAGUUGGACGUGAAAGCCCAGGGCUCAACCCUGGAAUUGCUUUCAAAACUGCAAGACUAGAGUCCGGGAGAGGAUAGCGGAAUUUCCAGUGUAGUAGUGAAAUACGUAGAUAUUGGAAGGAACACCAGUGGCGCAAGCGGCUAUCUGGACCGGUACUGACGCUGAGGCACGAAAGCGUGGGGAUCAAACAGG
rnacentral:rRNA from 1 species